rnacentral:rRNA from 1 species
AGCAGCCGCGGUAAUUCCAGCUCCAAUAGCGUAUAUUAAAGUUGUUGCAGUUAAAAAGCUCGUAGUUGAAUUUCGGGGUUCUACCGUUGGUCGGGCUUUGUCUGUACUGGCGUGUAGAAUUUCUACCUUCUGGGGAACUAUCAUGUUAUUAAUUUAACGUGGUGGGAAACCAGGACCUUUACCUUGAAAAAAUUAGAGUGUUCAAAGCAGGCUUAUGUCUGAAUACAUUAGCAUGGAAUAAUAAAAUAGGACGGUGGUCCUGUUUUGUUGGUUUCUGAAUCACCGUAAUGAUUAAUAGGGAUAGUUGGGGGCAUUAGUAUUCAAUUGUCAGAGGUGAAAUUCUUGGAUUUAU